UAGGGAAUCUUCCACAAUGGACGCAAGUCUGAUGGAGCAACGCCGCGUGAGUGAAGAAGGCUUUCGGGUCGUAAAACUCUGUUAUUGAAGAAGAACGUGCGUGACAGUAACUGGUCAUGCAGUGACGGUAUUCAAUCAGAAAGUCACGGCUAACUACGUGCCAGCAGCCGCGGUAAUACGUAGGUGGCAAGCGUUGUCCGGAUUUAUUGGGCGUAAAGCGAGUGCAGGCGGUCUUUUAAGUCUGAUGUGAAAGCCUUCGGCUUAACCGAAGAAGGGCAUCGGAAACUGGGAGACUUGAGUGCAGAAGAGGAGAGUGGAACUCCAUGUGUAGCGGUGAAAUGCGUAGAUAUAUGGAAGAACACCAGUGGCGAAGGCGGCUCUCUGGUCUGUAACUGACGCUGAGGCUCGAAAGCGUGGG
rnacentral:rRNA from 1 species